CCCAGCGAGGCUGUAGCAGCAUCAGGCAGAGCAGCAGGGACCAAGACUGCUGGAGCUUGGGGCCCUCGGCCCAGACUGGCCCCCCACAUCCCAACCCUGCCAUGCCAUUCUGGGUUGCCAAGUCCAAGGCAAAGGAGAGCUUUGGGGAAAGGGGAGAAAAUGGAGCCCACUGGAGGGAAGACCAGAAAGAACAGAAGGAGACACAUGCAGAAUGACCAUGUAUGUGAGGGAAGAGGAAGGAGAAGAAACAGAAGACAUAAAGAAGGGGAAAUAAAAUAAGUGUUCUGACCCUUUUAUGCUGCUUUUCCUGAACUAGAGUGUCCCUUCUGCAAUUUCAGGGAGAAACUUAGGAAAUAAAAUGUAGUAAUUUUCCCCCUCCUCACUCUCAUCUCUUCCACUUUCAGGAGGAGAGGGAUAAACUCCCUGAAAGCCACGCGAGCAAACUUAGGAAAGAACCAUGGAUCUCAAUUUACCCCUUCCCUGCUUUCCAUCUUAGCUCCUUUACAGGCUUGAAAAGACACCCUGGUGCCCUUAGACCUUCCUUCCCUUUUCCUAAGCACAGCUAGAACCCCCUUUUUCUGUUCCAAGGGCAAUCGCCUCAAGACGAUAGGGGCUACAGUCAGAUUUGGCCCCUAAUUCACUUGAUUACAUAAAAAACUCCAGAUAAUUGUUGGCCUGCCUCCUCAUACUGUAGGCAGCAUGUUUUGUUGUCUCCAGGGUACCACUGAGGGAGGAAAAGUAGACCUAAAGGACUAAGAGACUCCCCCCAACACACACACGUGUGAGGGCAUGCAUACACACACACAC
rnacentral:lncRNA from 10 species